AUCCCUUUGGUGUAAUGCACGAAAGUUUUUGAAGCUUUAAGAGGGUCAUCCCAGGGGAUU
rnacentral:tRNA from 1 species